GGUCCUGUAGCUCAGUGGUUAGAGCGAUGGUCUUGUGAGCCAUAGGUCGUGGGUUCGACCUCCGCCGGGACUA
rnacentral:tRNA from 1 species